GUGCAUAUGAUGUAAACAUUUUUUUUUGUCUGACUGCCUGUGAUGCUUUCAAAGGAACCACUGAUGCCA